rnacentral:rRNA from 1 species
GAUCCUGGCUCAGGAUGAACGCUAGCGGUAUGCUUAACACAUGCAAGUCGUACGGAAAAGAAAUUUUUAGUGGCGAACGGGUGCGUAACACGUGAGAAUCUGCCUUUAGGAAGGGGAUAACAUUUAGAAACAUUUGCUAAUACCCUAUAUGCUUUACGGUGAAAGAAUUUAUUCGCCUAAAGAGGAGCUCGCGUCUGAUUAGCUAGUUGGUAGGGUAAAGGCCUACCAAGGCGACGAUCAGUAGUUGGUCUGAGAGGACGGCCAGCCACAUUGGAACUGAGACACGGUCCAGACUCUUACGGGAGGCAGCAGUGAGGAAUUUUCUGCAAUGGGCGCAAGCCUGACAGAGCAAUACCGCGUGAGGGAUGACUGCCUACGGGUUGUAAACCUCUUUUCUCAAGGAGGAAGAUAUGACGUUACUUGAGGAAUAAGCAUCGGCUAACCCUGUGCCAGCAGCCGCGGUAAUACAGGGGAUGCAAGUGUUAUCCGGAAUUAUUGGGCGUAAAGCGUCUGCAGGUUGAUCUAUAAGUCUUUUGUUAAAUCUUCGGGCUCAACCCGAAAGCCGCAAAAGAAACUAUUUAUCUUGAGUAUGGUAGAGGUAAGGGGAAUUUCGAGUGGAGCGGUGAAAUGCGUAGAUAUUCGAAAGAACACCAAUAGCGAAGGCACCUUACUGGGCCAUUACUGACACUCAGAGACGAAAGCUAGGGUAGCAAACGGGAUUAGAUACCCCGGUAGUCCUAGCUGUAAACGAUGGAUACUAGAUGUUGCGUACUUUAUAGUAUGCAGUGUCGUAGCUAACGCGUUAAGUAUCCCGCCUGGGAAGUAUGCGCGCAAGCGUGAAACUCAAAGGAAUUGACGG